rnacentral:rRNA from 1 species
AUUGAACGCUGGCGGCAGGCCUAACACAUGCAAGUCGAACGAGUGGCGGACGGGUGAGUAAUGUCUGGGAAACUGCCUGAUGGAGGGGGAUCACUACUGGAAACGGUAGCUAAUACCGCAUACCAUCGGAUGUGCCCAGAUGGGAUUAGCUAGUAGGUGGGGUAAAGGCUCACCUAGGCGACGAUCCCUAGCUGGUCUGAGAGGAUGACCAGCCACACUGGGACUGAGACACGGCCCAGACGCCUACGGGAGGCAGCAGUGGUGAAUAUGGCACAAUGGGCGAAAGCCUGAUGAAGCCAUGCCGCGUGUAUGAAGAAGGCCUUCGGGUGGUAAAGUACUUUCAGAGGGGAGGCGGUACCCGCAGAAGAAGCACCGGCUAACUCCGUGCCAGCAGCCGCGGUAAUUC